GGGCUUGACAUCCCACGAACCUGCAGAAAGGCAGGAGUGCCCGCAAGGGAGCGCGGAGACAGGUGGUGCAUGGCUGUCGUCAGCUCGUGUCGUGAGAUGUUGGGUUAAGUCCCGCAACGAGCGCAACCCUCACCCCUUGUUGCCAUCAGGUCAUGCUGGGCACUCUAGGGGAACUGCCCCGGUCAACGGGGAGGAAGGCGGGGAUGACGUCAAGUCAUCAUGCCCCUUACGCCCUGGGCUACACACGUGCUACAAUGGCCGGUACAAAGGGAUGCAACGCCGUGAGGCAGAGCCAAACCCAAAAAGCCGGUCCAAGUUCAGAUUGGAGUCUGCAACUCGACUCCAUGAAGGAGGAAUCGCUAGUAAUCGCGUAUCAGCACGACGCGGUGAAUACGUUCCCGGGCCUUGUACACACCGCCCGUCACACCACGAAAGCCUGCUGUACUCGAAGUCGCUGAG
rnacentral:rRNA from 1 species